rnacentral:rRNA from 1 species
GACGGAUAGCUUGGCUUGAAUAGCGAAGAAGGACGUGGCAAGCUGCGAUAAGCUUGGGCGAGCCGCAUGCGGGCUUUGAACCUAAGAUCUCCUAAUG